GAUGAACGCUGGCGGCGUGCCUAAUACAUGCAAGUCGAGCGAACAGACGAGGAGCUUGCUCCUCUGACGUUAGCGGCGGACGGGUGAGUAACACGUGGAUAACCUACCUAUAAGACUGGGAUAACUUCGGGAAACCGGAGCUAAUACCGGAUAAUAUAUUGAACCGCAUGGUUCAAUAGUGAAAGACGGUUUUGCUGUCACUUAUAGAUGGAUCCGCGCCGCAUUAGCUAGUUGGUAAGGUAACGGCUUACCAAGGCAACGAUGCGUAGACGACCUGAGAGGGUGAUCGGCCACACUAGAACUGAGACACGGUCCAGACUCCUACGGGAGGCAGCAGUAGGGAAUCUUCCGCAAUGGGCGAAAGCCUGACGGAGCAACGCCGCGUGAGUGAUGAAGGUCUUCGGAUCGUAAAACUCUGUUAUUAGGGAAGAACAAAUGUGUAAGUAACUAUGCACGUCUUGACGGUACCUAAUCAGAAAGCCACGGCUAACUACGUG
rnacentral:rRNA from 1 species